UUAAGCGACUAAGCGUACACGGUGGAUGCCCUGGCAGUCAGAGGCGAUGAAGGACGUGCUAAUCUGCGAUAAGCGUCGGUGAGGUGAUAUGAACCGUUAUAACCGGCGAUUUCCGAAUGGGGAAACCCAGUGUGUUUCGACACACUAUCAUUAACUGAAUCCAUAGGUUAAUGAGGCGAACCGGGGGAACUGAAACAUCUAAGUACCCCGAGGAAAAGAAAUCAACCGAGAUUCCCCCAGUAGCGGCGAGCGAACGGGGAGGAGCCCAGAGCCUGAAUCAGUGUGUGUGUUAGUGGAAGCGUCUGGAAAGGCGCGCGAUACAGGGUGACAGCCCCGUACACAAAAAUGCACAUAUUGUGAGCUCGAUGAGUAGGGCGGGACACGUGGUAUCCUGUCUGAAUAUGGGGGGACCAUCCUCCAAGGCUAAAUACUCCUGACUGACCGAUAGUGAACCAGUACCGUGAGGGAAAGGCGAAAAGAACCCCGGCGAGGGGAGUGAAAAAGAACCUGAAACCGUGUACGUACAAGCAGUGGGAGCCUCUUAAUGGGGUGACUGCGUACCUUUUGUAUAAUGGGUCAGCGACUUAUAUUCUGUAGCAAGGUUAACCGAAUAGGGGAGCCGAAGGGAAACCGAGUCUUAACUGGGCGUUAAGUUGCAGGGUAUAGACCCGAAACCCGGUGAUCUAGCCAUGGGCAGGUUGAAGGUUGGGUAACACUAACUGGAGGACCGAACCGACUAAUGUUGAAAAAUUAGCGGAUGACUUGUGGCUGGGGGUGAAAGGCCAAUCAAACCGGGAGAUAGCUGGUUCUCCCCGAAAGCUAUUUAGGUAGCGCCUCGUGAAUUCAUCUCCGGGGGUAGAGCACUGUUUCGGCAAGGGGGUCAUCCCGACUUACCAACCCGAUGCAAACUGCGAAUACCGGAGAAUGUUAUCACGGGAGACACACGGCGGGUGCUAACGUCCGUCGUGAAGAGGGAAACAACCCAGACCGCCAGCUAAGGUCCCAAAGUCAUGGUUAAGUGGGAAACGAUGUGGGAAGGCCCAGACAGCCAGGAUGUUGGCUUAGAAGCAGCCAUCAUUUAAAGAAAGCGUAAUAGCUCACUGGUCGAGUCGGCCUGCGCGGAAGAUGUAACGGGGCUAAACCAUGCACCGAAGCUGCGGCAGCGACGCUUAUGCGUUGUUGGGUAGGGGAGCGUUCUGUAAGCCUGUGAAGGUGUGCUGUGAGGCAUGCUGGAGGUAUCAGAAGUGCGAAUGCUGACAUAAGUAACGAUAAAGCGGGUGAAAAGCCCGCUCGCCGGAAGACCAAGGGUUCCUGUCCAACGUUAAUCGGGGCAGGGUGAGUCGACCCCUAAGGCGAGGCCGAAAGGCGUAGUCGAUGGGAAACAGGUUAAUAUUCCUGUACUUGGUGUUACUGCGAAGGGGGGACGGAGAAGGCUAUGUUGGCCGGGCGACGGUUGUCCCGGUUUAAGCGUGUAGGCUGGUUUUCCAGGCAAAUCCGGAAAACCAAGGCUGAGGCGUGAUGACGAGGCACUACGGUGCUGAAGCAACAAAUGCCCUGCUUCCAGGAAAAGCCUCUAAGCAUCAGGUAACAUCAAAUCGUACCCCAAACCGACACAGGUGGUCAGGUAGAGAAUACCAAGGCGCUUGAGAGAACUCGGGUGAAGGAACUAGGCAAAAUGGUGCCGUAACUUCGGGAGAAGGCACGCUGAUAUGUAGGUGAAGCGACUUGCUCGUGGAGCUGAAAUCAGUCGAAGAUACCAGCUGGCUGCAACUGUUUAUUAAAAACACAGCACUGUGCAAACACGAAAGUGGACGUAUACGGUGUGACGCCUGCCCGGUGCCGGAAGGUUAAUUGAUGGGGUUAGCGGCAACGCGAAGCUCUUGAUCGAAGCCCCGGUAAACGGCGGCCGUAACUAUAACGGUCCUAAGGUAGCGAAAUUCCUUGUCGGGUAAGUUCCGACCUGCACGAAUGGCGUAAUGAUGGCCAGGCUGUCUCCACCCGAGACUCAGUGAAAUUGAACUCGCUGUGAAGAUGCAGUGUACCCGCGGCAAGACGGAAAGACCCCGUGAACCUUUACUAUAGCUUGACACUGAACAUUGAGCCUUGAUGUGUAGGAUAGGUGGGAGGCUUUGAAGUGUGGACGCCAGUCUGCAUGGAGCCGACCUUGAAAUACCACCCUUUAAUGUUUGAUGUUCUAACGUGGGCCCCUAAUCGGGGUUGCGGACAGUGUCUGGUGGGUAGUUUGACUGGGGCGGUCUCCUCCUAAAGAGUAACGGAGGAGCACGAAGGUUGGCUAAUCCUGGUCGGACAUCAGGAGGUUAGUGCAAUGGCAUAAGCCAGCUUGACUGCGAGCGUGACGGCGCGAGCAGGUGCGAAAGCAGGUCAUAGUGAUCCGGUGGUUCUGAAUGGAAGGGCCAUCGCUCAACGGAUAAAAGGUACUCCGGGGAUAACAGGCUGAUACCGCCCAAGAGUUCAUAUCGACGGCGGUGUUUGGCACCUCGAUGUCGGCUCAUCACAUCCUGGGGCUGAAGUAGGUCCCAAGGGUAUGGCUGUUCGCCAUUUAAAGUGGUACGCGAGCUGGGUUUAGAACGUCGUGAGACAGUUCGGUCCCUAUCUGCCGUGGGCGCUGGAGAACUGAGGGGGGCUGCUCCUAGUACGAGAGGACCGGAGUGGACGCAUCACUGGUGUUCGGGUUGUCAUGCCAAUGGCACUGCCCGGUAGCUAAAUGCGGAAGAGAUAAGUGCUGAAAGCAUCUAAGCACGAAACUUGCCCCGAGAUGAGUUCUCCCUGAGACUUAGAGUCUCCUGAAGGAACGUUGAAGACGACGACGUUGAUAGGCCGGGUGUGUAAGCGCAGCGAUGCGUUGAGCUAACCGGUACUAAUGAACCGUGAGGNCAAGGCUG
rnacentral:rRNA from 1 species